UACGGAGGGGACUAGCGUUGUUCGGAAUUACUGGGCGUAAAGCGUACGUAGGCGGAUUAGUCAGUUAGAGGUGAAAUCCCAGGGCUCAACCCUGGAACUGCCUUUAAUACUGCUAGUCUUGAGUUCGAGAGAGGUGAGUGGAAUUCCGAGUGUAGAGGUGAAAUUCGUAGAUAUUCGGAGGAACACCAGUGGCGAAGGCGGCUCACUGGCUCGAUACUGACGCUGAGGUACGAAAGUGUGGGGAGCAAACAGG
rnacentral:rRNA from 1 species